GGAAGUGUGGCCGAGCGGUUGAAGGCACCGGCCUUGAAAACCGGCGACCCGAAAGGGUUCCAGAGUUCGAAUCUCUGCGCUUCCGCCA
rnacentral:tRNA from 1 species